rnacentral:rRNA from 1 species
UACGGAGGGUGCAAGCGUUAUCCGGAUUCACUGGGUUUAAAGGGUGCGUAGGCGGGUUGGUAAGUCCGUGGUGAAAUCUCCAAGCUUAACUUGGAAACUGCCGUGGAUACUAUCAAUCUUGAAUUUAGUGGAGGUGAGCGGAAUAUGUCAUGUAGCGGUGAAAUGCUUAGAUAUGACAUAGAACACCCAUUGCGAAGGCAGCUCGCUACACUAUUAUUGACGCUGAGGCACGAAAGCGUGGGGGAUCAAACAGG